UCAAGUGUCUUAAGGGCAUUUGGUGGAUGCCUUGGCAUGCACAGGCGAUGAAGGACGUGAUACGCUGCGAUAAGCGUCGGGGAGGUGCGAAUACCCUUUGAUCCGACGAUUUCCGAAUGGGGCAACCCACCUUAGAUGACUAGAAAAUCUGUUUUGUUGGAGCAACGCUGGAUGGGUUUACACCCAUACAGACCGCUAGGUCGUCGGCCCAUGUGGGUCGCCCCCGCGGAGCGCCAGCAUUCCUCUGGAAUGCGUACGGCGCGUGAGCGAGAACAGCACAGCUUUCUAGUCAUCAUAAAUAAGGUAUCUAACCUUGAAUACAUAGGGGUUAGAAGCGAACCUGGGGAACUGAAACAUCUAAGUACCCAGAGGAAAGGACAUCAAACGAGACUCCGCUAGUAGUGGCGAGCGAACGCGGACCAGGCCAGUGGCUUUUGUGAAUAAAGUGGAACGAGUUGGAAAACUCGACCGAAGUGGGUGAUAGUCCCGUACACGUAGAAUAGCAGAAGUCCUUGAGUAGGGCGGGACACGUGAAAUCCUGUCUGAACAUGGGUCGACCACGAUCCAAGCCUAAGUACUCGUGCAUGACCGAUAGCGAACCAGUACCGUGAGGGAAAGGUGAAAAGCACCCCGACGAGGGGAGUGAAACAGUACCUGAAACCGGAUGCCUACAAACAGUUGGAGCCCAAGGUUUGUCCUGGGUGACAGCGUACCUUUUGUAUAAUGGGUCAGCGACUUAGUGUAUCGAGCAAGCUUAAGCCGGUAGGUGUAGGCGCAGCGAAAGCGAGUCUGAACAGGGCGUUCAGUUCGAUGCAUUAGACCCGAAACCAAGUGAUCUAGCCAUGAGCAGGUUGAAGGUACGGUAACACGUACUGGAGGACCGAACCCAUAUCUGUUGCAAUAGAUCGGGAUGACUUGUGGCUAGGGGUGAAAGGCCAAUCAAACUUGGAGAUAGCUGGUUCUCCGCGAAAUCUAUUUAGGUAGAGCGUCGACCGAAUACCCCCGGGGGUAGAGCACUGGAUGGGCUAUGGGGACUCACCGUCUUACUGAUCCUAACCAAACUCCGAAUACCGGGGAGUACUAGUCGGCAGACACACGGCGGGUGCUAACGUCCGUCGUGGAGAGGGCAACAACCCUGACCACCAUCUAAGGUCCCUAAGUUAUGGCUAAGUGGGAAAGGAUGUGAGGAUCCCAAAACAACCAGGAUGUUGGCUUAGAAGCAGCCAUCAUUUAAAGAAAGCGUAACAGCUCACUGGUCUAAAUAAGGGUCUUUGCGCCGAAAAUGUACCGGGGCUCAAGCCAUACACCGAAGCUGUGGAUGCACGUAUGUGCGUGGUAGCGGAGCGUUCCGUAAGCCUGUGAAGGGACAGUCGUGAGACAUCCUGGAGGUAUCGGAAGUGAGAAUGCUGACAUGAGUAACGAUAAAGGGAGUGAGAGACUCCCUCGCCGAAAGUCCAAGGGUUCCUGCUUAAAGUUAAUCUGAGCAGGGUUAGCCGGCCCCUAAGGCGAGGCCGAAAGGCGUAGUCGAUGGGAACCACGUUAAUAUUCGUGGGCCUGCAGGUAGUGACGGAUCGCGUGUGUUGUGAGGUCUUAUUGGAUUGAUCUUGCAGCGAAGCGGUUCCAGGAAAUAGCUCCUGCAUAUAGACCGUACCCUAAACCGACACUGGUGGACUGGUAGAGAAUACCAAUGCGCUUGAGAGAACUGCGUUGAAGGAACUCGGCAAAAUGCACGCGUAACUUCGGAAGAAGCGUGACCUCACUAUGGGCAACCAUAGGGGGGUGGCACAGACCAGGGGGUAGCGACUGUUUACCAAAAACACAGGGCUCUGCAAAGUCGCAAGACGACGUAUAGGGUCUGACGCCUGCCCGGUGCUGGAAGGUUAAGAGGAGAGGUGCAAGCCUUGAAUUGAAGCCCCAGUAAACGGCGGCCGUAACUAUAACGGUCCUAAGGUAGCGAAAUUCCUUGUCGGGUAAGUUCCGACCUGCACGAAUGGCGUAACGACUUCCCCGCUGUCUCCAACGCAGACUCAGUGAAAUUGAAUUCCCCGUGAAGAUGCGGGGUUCCUGCGGUUAGACGGAAAGACCCCGUGCACCUUUACUAUAGCUUUACACUGGCAUUCGUGACGACAUGUGUAGGAUAGGUGGUAGACUUUGAAGCAGGGGCG
rnacentral:rRNA from 1 species